rnacentral:rRNA from 1 species
AUUGAACGCUGGCGGCAUGCUUUACACAUGCAAGUCGAACGGUAACAGGGAGCUUGCUCCGCUGACGAGUGGCGAACGGGUGAGUAAUGCGUCGGAACGUGCCGAGUAGUGGGGGAUAACGCAGCGAAAGUUGUGCUAAUACCGCAUACGUACUGAGGUAGAAAGUGGGGGACCUUCGGGCCUCACGCUAUUCGAGCGGCCGACGUCUGAUUAGCUAGUAGGUGAGGUAAAGGCUCACCUAGGCGACGAUCAGUAGCGGGUCUGAGAAGAUAAUCCGCCACACUGGGACUGAGACACGGCCCAGACUCCGACGGGAGGCAGCAGUGGGGAAUUUUGGACAAUGGGCGAAAGCCUGAUCCAGCCAUGCCGCGUGUCUGAAGAAGGCCUUCGGGUUGUAAAGGACUUUUGUCGGGGAGGAAAUCCCCAGCGCUAAUACUGCUGGGGGAUGACAGUACCUGAAGAAUAAGCACCGGCUAACUACGUGCCAGCCGCCGCAGUAAAAC